UGCAAGUCGAGCGAACAGACGAGGAGCUUACUCCUCUGACGUUAGCGGCGGACGGGUGAGUAACACGUGGAUAACCUACCUAUAAGACUGGGAUAACUUCGGGAAACCGGAGCUAAUACCGGAUAACAUGUUGAACCGCAUGGUUCAACAGUGAAAGACGGUCUUGCUGUCACUUAUAGAUGGAUCCGCGUCGCAUUAGCUAGUUGGUAAGGUAACGGCUUACCAAGGCAACAAUGCGUAGCCGACCUGAGAGGGUGAUCGGCCACACUGGAACUGAGACACGGUCCAGACUCCUACGGGAGGCAGCAGUAGGGAAUCUUCCGCAAUGGGCGAAAGCCUGACGGAGCAACGCCGCGUGAGUGAAGAAGGUCUUCGGAUCGUAAAACUCUGUUAUUAGGGAAGAACAAAUGUGUAAGUAACUAUGCACGUCUUGACGGUACCUAAUCAGGAAGCCACGGCUAACUACGUGCCAGCAGCCGCGGUAAUACGUAGGUGGCAAGCGUUAUCCGGAAUUAUUGGGCGUAAAGCGCGCGUAGGCGGUUUUUUAAGUCUGAUGUGAAAGCCCACGGCUCAACCGUGGAGGGUCAUUGGAAACUGGAAAACUUGAGUGCAGAAGAGGAAAGUGGAAUUCCAUGUGUAGCGGUGAAAUGCGCAGAGAUAUGGAGGAACACCAGUGGCGAAGGCGACUUUCNUGGUCUGUAACUGACGCUGAUGUGCGAAAGCGUGG
rnacentral:rRNA from 1 species